UCAGUAGCGUAGAGAUUUGGAAGAGACGAAUACCAAAACAGAACAAUCAAGAUCGAGAGAUGCUAAAAUCGUGGGGAGGUCAUUCGAAAUAGAGAGAGAGAGAGAGAGAGAUGGA